UGCUGAGUGCUAGGUGCUUGUUUUCCUAAAACUUUGUUAUUUUUUCUGUUACCUGAGUCUUAAAAGUAGAUGGCAGUGCWUUGCAUUGUGCUAAAAGGGAGCAGGGGCAGUGUUCAAGAUGUUGCAGGUACUUUAUUGGCUUCAGUCUCUACGAAASAACCACAUAGAUUUUAGAAGAGUUGCAUCGGUGUAAUUGACUGGGGAUUUGCUCAUAAAGGCCUGGAAUUACUAGGCAGAGGGUUGGAUAUGAGAGCACUUGAGUUGGUGGAAUGGAAGCAUUAUGGUGGGAAGCGACAUUAAAAAGACCUCAGGAGAGAAUACUCCAACGUGAACACCAAACACCCCAGCAGCAGCUAAAAUACAGACAGCGUGACUGAAAAAUGCAAGCAAYGAGAGGACAAAUCAACCAUGUGUCAGCUUCAGUGCUUCUUCAGUACUGAGGAGC